GUGGCUUGGAAGAAGGAAGAAGGGAGAAGAGGAACACCGAACAGCUACUCUGCAGGACACACGUCCCGAGUUCCAGGAACUUUGCCAGGCCCGGGAGAAAACGCUGAAAGGAUGGGUGCACUGGCCCUGCAGAGGACAUCUGGACAGACCCCAUCUGGACAGACAGCACCCAUGGCCUGGGCUGGGUUUCCUACAAAUUUCCUGCAUAACAAGAAAUGGCAACCGAAAUUUCUAGAACCCCCAUGUCAUAAGACUAGAAGCCCCAUUGUGGGCACUCGUGCACACCGGAUGAGUCAACAUGCACAAUAAGGGGCAAACCGCUCGCUCACUCCACGUGACCGCUCUGCUGGUU